rnacentral:rRNA from 1 species
GACGAACCGAGCGAACGUUGUUCGGAAUCACUGGGCUUAAAGGGCGCGUAGGCGGGCUGUCAAGUCUGGGGUGAAAUCCCGCGGCUCAACCGCGGAACUGCCUCAGAUACUGACGGUCUCGAGGGGGGUAGGGGCGAGCGGAACGAAUGGUGGAGCGGUGAAAUGCGUUGAUAUCAUUCGGAACUCCGGUGGCGAAGGCGGCUCGCUGGACCCCUUCUGACGCUGAGGCGCGAAAGCCAGGGGAGCAAACGGG